AAGGAAGAAGUAGAGAGGUAAUACGAGUAGCUUGAAACUACUAUACGGGGGUUCGAUUCCCCCCUUCCUCA
rnacentral:tRNA from 1 species